AGCGAACGCUGGCGGCAGGCCUAACACAUGCAAGUCGAACGAACCUUUCGGGGUUAGUGGCGGACGGGUGAGUAACACGUGGGAACGUGCCUUUAGGUUCGGAAUAACUCAGGGAAACUUGUGCUAAUACCGAAUGUGCCCUUCGGGGGAAAGAUUUAUCGCCUUUAGAGCGGCCCGCGUCUGAUUAGCUAGUUGGUUGAGGUAAUGGCUCACCAAGGCGACGAUCAGUAGCUGGUCUGAGAGGAUGAUCAGCCACAUUGGGACUGAGACACGGCCCAAACUCCUACGCGAGGCAGCAGUGGGGAAUCUUGCGCAAUGGGCGAAAGCCUGACGCAGCCAUGCCGCGUGAAUGAUGAAGGUCUUAGGAUUGUAAAAUUCUUUCACCGGGGACGAUAAUGACGGUACCCGGAGAAGAAGCCCCGGCUAACUUCGUG
rnacentral:rRNA from 1 species